CAGAGUCUUAUUUCUCUCUUGCCAGCAGGCUAUUUUUGAAAGCAAUGCCAUGCUAGAGGGAAGAAGGAUGAAGAGACAGAGAACACUGGGUCCUAGCAACUUGGUUUGUGCUUCUGGUCCUAGACACAUCAAAACAAUUUAUAUACAUAAGUUGAUCUGAUCCUUAUUUUGGCUGAGUUCUCUCAAAUUGUGUUUUCUGUUCCUCUGAAUUCUAUCUCAUAUGAUGGUGACCUUUCCCUUAUUAACUACGAGCAACUAAUUAAGUGCCCUUUUAGAAAUCAAAUCAUCUUUUCUCCUUGAGUCAGAAACUUAAUGCUUAGUUAAAAAGAAUAACACAAUGUAACUCUGAGGAGUUGGUAUUGUAUCCACCUUUCCUUGAUGGACUCUGUGCUACCACAGUAAACAAACCGAGCACCCCAAGCAUCAGGUUGGUACCCUCUACAAUAGAUCUGGUGGUUUACAGGCUUAAUUCUUCCUCAGAAAACUAAUUCUACUUCAAAAUAGGAAGAAGAGCACUUGUUUGGAAAUUGGAGGAGAUCCUGUCUUGUGGCUGGGAAUCUAUUCUGUAAUUUCAUAAUUAGGAAGAUUCUAAGUCAAAUUACCAUUCAAUAAAGGCAGGGUCCUAGAAGUACCUCUGUCCUUAUAUAUGUACAUGAUCAGUCUGACCUCAGACUCCAAAGCCUCAGUCUGCCCAGGCACAAAGUCCAGGGUUAGAGAAGCCAUUGUACUGUCCGUGCAUCCUCCAGGCUUCAUGCAUAAAGCUGAGCACUUCUUCAUGGUAUCAUCCCAAAGUCCUAAAAAUGAGGAUUCUGUCACACAAUAUGUAUGUGGAAUACAGAUAACAAUUGUGGGAAUGGGUUCUCUCCAUCCCCCAUGUGGGACUCAGGAACGGAACUCAGGUCACUGGUCUUGGGGGCACACACUUCUACCCUCUUAGUCCUCUCUCUGGCUUCUUCUAGCUCUUUGGAAUAUACACCACAACAUCUUACGUUUCAACUGCAGCUUAGAACCCACUCAUUUAACUCUCUGUUUCCUUCCUUCCUUAUAUUCUUUCCAGCCUCUGGCCAUUAACAUUCUUCUCUCAGCUUUCAUGAAAUCCACUAUUUUUCAACCCACAGGAAGAUGAUCUUACAGUUCUUGACUUUCUGAGCCUCUCUCAUACCCCUGAGACUUCAUAUAUAGGAAGAUUUCAUUUUUUUGUCACAGGCUCACCACGCCAGUCUCUGAUCAAGGUCUGAGAUGAUCUGCUGCAUCUCCUGAAGGAAGAUGCUAACAAGAUUCUUUGAAUGUCUUCUCAUCAUCAUUGAAUCUAUUCAGUGUCCUCCCUGAUCUGAGAAGACCAAACCUGUGUGCUAAGAUAGGCACUCUGUACCAGGAUCCACAUCCUCCUUCAAGUCCUUCCUAAUGGUGGCCUAUGCAGGCUACUGGGUCAGGAGUUCAUAACUAACAGAGAACUCAUUAUGGGAAGACAGAGCCCCAGAGAAACUCAGAAGCUUAGCAACACAGCACCAGACCCGGGGUCAAGUCACCAGGAACAUACCAAGAGGAAUGUGUCACUGAUGCAGGGGAAAGUGAAGCUUUACAAGUGGCCCAGCCUGAAGCCAAAAAACUUGCUGUGGAAACUCAACU